UUAGCCAAGAAUGGCUUGCCUAUCUCCACUAUUUGGUUCAUCACUGGAACACACUUGGGGUUCAGAUGGUGGAUGAAAUGUGGAAGGUGGUGAGCCUUCCUGGCUAAGA
rnacentral:pre_miRNA from 1 species